rnacentral:rRNA from 1 species
GACGAACGCUGGCGGCGUGCUUAACACAUGCAAGUCGAACGGAUAGGCCCUGCUUUUGUGGGGUGCUCGAGUGGCGAACGGGUGAGUAACACGUGAGUAACCUGCCCUUGACUUUGGGAUAACUUCAGGAAACUGGGGCUAAUACCGGAUAGGAGCUCCUGCUGCAUGGUGGGGGUUGGAAAGUUUCGGCGGUUGGGGAUGGACUCGCGGCUUAUCAGCUUGUUGGUGGGGUAGUGGCUUACCAAGGCUUUGACGGGUAGCCGGCCUGAGAGGGUGACCGGCCACAUGGGGACUGAGAUACGGCCCAGACUCCUACGGGAGGCAGCAGUGGGGAAUAUUGCACAAUGGGCGGAAGCCUGAUGCAGCAACGCCGCGUGCGGGAUGACGGCCUUCGGGUUGUAAACCGCUUUCGCCUGUGACGAAGCGUGAGUGACGGUAAUGGGUAAAGAAGCACCGGCUAACUACGUG